CGAAAGAUUGAUUCAGUUACUUAUUAGGAUGAUAUAUAAAUAAUUAUUUAUCUUUUUAGAUAAAUAAUAUAUAUAAUUUAUAUUAAUAAUUAUAUUAUAUAUAUAAAUUGAUUAAAAAUAAAAUCCUUAAAUAGUGAAAAUAAUGAUAUUAACUACCAUAAUAUAAAAUUUUUUUUAUGGAUAUAAUAUAUUAUAUAUUAUAUUUUAAUAGUCCUAACCAAAAUUUGUGCCAGCAGCUGCGGUAAUACAAUGGGGGCUAGCGUUAAUCAUAAUGGCUUAAAGGGUCCGUAGAAUUAUUUAUUUAUUUAUUUCAAAUAUAAAUUAGAGUUAAUAAAUUUAAUUAAAGAAUUAUAAUAGUAAAGAUGAAAUAAUUAUAAUAAUUAUAAGACUUAUAUAUGUGAAAAUAUUAAUUAAAUAUUAACUGACAUUGAUGGACGAAAGCUAGAGUAGCAAUACGGAUUCGAUACCCGAGUAGUUCUAGCUGUAAACUAUGAACACCAUAAUUUAUUUAUUAUAAAUAAAUUAUAAAUGAAAAUGUAAGUGUUCCGCCUGAAGAGUACGUUCGCAAGAAUGAAACUCAAGACAAUAGACGGUUACAGACUUAAGCAGUGGAGCAU
rnacentral:rRNA from 1 species